rnacentral:lncRNA from 1 species
CAAGGUACUCAAAAAGAGUUUCCAAUUUUAUCUCCAUUGCUCUCUUUUCUUUCUUACAACCUAUCUUAGUUUUAGGACAAGGCUUUGGUAUUUAAGAUGAAGCCUUAUCUGAUCCUUACAAGGGUUGUGAGGGUCCUAAAAAAGGAGGAUCAAAAGUUCAAAGGAGGUUCUGAAAGGGUGGAGUUAGUUUCUUAGUGAAACCU